UUUAUCCGAACUCAAAACUUUUCCCGCCAUUGUUUUUGUAUAAAGAAAAAGAAAUAAAGAACCUGAAGUUAGGUGUCUCUAAUUUAGUAAAGUUUUGGGAAAAUCAAUCAGCAGCGAUGGACCGAAACGAGACCUCGAGGAAGCGCAAGAAGCAUCCCCCAAACCCUAUCUUCACACGCAGCAGCAGAUCUCAGAUCCACGAAGACGAUGCCGAUGAUCUCCGUAUCCUGAUCAAAGAUCUCCGCACUAAACGGGUCUUCUCCCCCGACGCUUCUGCUUUGUGCAAUCUCAAUUUGGAGCCUGAUUUGGGAAUUUCUUAUGAAACCCAGAGCCAGAAGAAUGAUGAUUUGGCUGAACCUGAGGUCGAGGUGUCACUGUCAGGUAUUACUUUUAGAGAGAUUACUCCUCCUGGAAUCGGCAAGUGCUUAGGAGCAGCCAACAUUCACAACAAUGUCUCAACCACCAAAUCGGUUCUCAAACCAUGUUUUAGGCGGAAACUGUUCAAAACUCCAGGUUCAGUUAGCUAUAAAAGAUUGCUUCCUUUUCUGAUGGAUAUCACAAAAGAUAAUCCAUAUGCUCCAGAAAAUAUUCAGUGCUCAAAACUGGACAAGGGGUUGGGACAAAAGCAGCAGCUUCAACCGAAGUUAGCUUCUAUGGGUCAAGAAGUUUUCAUGGAUAUGUCUAACAUGAAUCAAUGUCCAAUAGAUUGUAAAACUGGUGAAUCUGGUAACUCGCCAACAUCUGUACUAAUUUCUGCCAAUGAGUCAUCAAAUGGUAACAUCGUACAUUCUACAUCAGCUGAACACUAUUCUGAAUCGUUAAUGUCAUUUCAUUCUAAAAAAUUGGUUGAUGAUAAGGAGCUGUCUGUUAAUGGACAAGUUCAGAAAUUUGAGUUGGGUAAUAAGAAUUGCACAAAGCCUGAUACAUCUUCGGUUUUGGAGGAUGACACAAAGGGCCAAAGUGAUGAUAGAGAAACUGAGAAAAUUGAAUGUCUAUGUGUUUGUGAAGAUCAAGAUGUUGAUGCUGUAAACCCUGAGUUGUCCUUCAUUAAGGAUUGGUGUCAUUCAGGGAGAGAUCGUGGAGUUGGUCUGCACAAUGAUGAUCUGAAGCAGUGUGAGACUAGAGGGAUGAAGAAAGCUAAUAAUGUAUAUCCUUAUAAAGCUCAGAAUUUGAAUCCUAAUUUUUCUGAAGCAGAGAAUAGUGAAUCAUUCAAUUUAAAAAAGAGAGGCGAUAAUGGUAGUCAGGUUCUAAAUCAAGUUGAUAAUUCAAAUGAAGAAUUCGUUGAGUUGACACCACCAGAUGCAGAAGAAAAUGGAGGUGGUGGAGUAGAAUUUAUUCAGAAGAAUACAGAUAGCCUUGGGAAGCCAUUAAAUGGAACUAACACCAGAGAUGUUCUCUGUGCCAGUGAUAAGAGAAACUACUCCCAUUCUAAAAGCAAAGAGGUUCUAAAUCCAUGUUCGAGACUGAAGUUAUACAAAAGUCCAGGCUCGUUCAGCUACAGAAGAUUGCUUCCAUUUCUAAUGGAUAUCAAAAGAGAAAAUUCUUGUGCUUCAGGGAAUGGUCAUCAAUCAAAAUUUGAGAAGGGUUUGAAAGUACUGUUUGCACCACAUGUCACUUCUGACUUUCAAGAGAAGCCAAUUGAUAAUUCAAACGGUUACAAAUUUCAUGAAGAGCAUCAUACUACAAAUUGUGGAAUUCUGCCAAUGACUGCAUUGACUUCUGCCCAUGAGUCAUCUAAUGAUGAUAAAUCAGAGCAUUCUCCUCAGGAUAUUUCUAAAUUCACAAUAUCACUUGAUUCACAAAAGGAACAUCACUUGCAAGAUAGAUAUAGUCAAUUGGUGGGGACUUCCCCUAGCAAAGAGUGUUCUGUACAUGAAAUUGAUCCACAAGUUGCUGCACUUUGUCCUCCUGUCAGCCAAGAAGCUUUGUCUAGGGAAGAAGGUACAACUUUGGCCUAUCGACGAGUCUCUGUUGACAAUGAGGCAGACUGCCCUAGUUCAUUUACAAAAUCUUCUAAUGCGGCAAAGCCAGUUGAGGGAAACAACUUGUCUCAAAUUACACCUCAACUUGAAGCCUCAGCUCCUUCAGGAGUUCAUGGCACUGCACACAAAAAGGGGAUUCUUAAAAGAAAUCCACGAGGAUGCAGAGGGCUCUGUACUUGUUUGAAUUGUGCUUCUUUUCGUCUCCAUGCAGAGAGAUCAUUUGAGUUCUCCAGAAAUCAGAUGCAAGAUGCUGAAGAGGUGGCCUUAAAUUUGAUUAAGGAACUGUCAUACCUUAGGAAUAUGUUGGAGAAAUCUGCUGAUGGUUUCAAUGAUCAUUCUGUUGUUAAAGUCAAUCAGGUGAAAGAAGCAUGCAGGAAAGCAUCAGAAGCAGAAGAACUAGCAAAAGACCGCAUAGGCCAAAUGAACUAUGAGCUCGACAUCCACUGCAGGAUCACAUGCUUGCAGCGGCCAAGAGUUAGAUUUGCCAAUCAUGUUGAAGAAAACGUCAUUCCCAAGGCUGACAUGCCAAGCAAAUAGUAUUUUACCACGUGUCAUUUUCUUUUAAUCUUAAAUUGGGAAUUGAACUAGAUUACCGGAUUUAGUAGGGAAAUAAAGUAUGAAAUGUGGCAACUGACUGUCAGAGUUGCCAAAGACAACAGAGUAGAUGACAUGCAGAAUUUCUGGAGUUAAAGCCUAUAUGCUUGGGCAAUUCAUUAGAAUGAAAAUCUUGUGGCUUACAUUUAGUCACACUUCUGUAGUGAAGAUAAGUUAUCCUGUCCAGUUCCCAAGUGGAUGUUCUAUCUCACCUUUGAGUGAGAUGCUUUGUAACACAUUGUGGGUGGAAUUCAAGUCUAGAGAGUUUGGUUUCAAGGGUGCCAAUGGUAGUGUUUUCACAAUGGACAGAUCAAGGGACAAAUGCGAAGUUGAUUGAAGAUGUGUUGAAGACAGAAAUGAAGGUGACAAUAAAUAAUGAUGGGAUUUUAGAAGGUGAUGAGAUUAAGAGGUGCUUGGAAUUGGUUGUGGGAGAUGGAGAGAGGGAAAGAAAUGAGGACUGCCAUGAAAUGGAAGGAGUUGACUAAGGAUGCUGCCAACGACAGUGUUUCUUUGAUUUGCUUUGUUUACCCCCCUAAACUUGAAAUUGUUGCAUUUGCAUUGUGAUGAAUUAAGAUUUGUAAUUUUGAGGUUAAUUUCUUAUUCUAUUAGUUAAUAAUUUUUAUAUUCAUGGGAAUUGAAUUAAGGACUUCA